CGUAGGGUGCGAGCGUUAAUCGGAAUUACUGGGCGUAAAGCGUGCGCAGGCGGUUCGCCAAGUCAGGUGUGAAAUCCCCGGGCUUAACCUGGGAAUUGCGCUUGAAACUAGCGGGCUUGAGUGCGGCAGAGGGGGGUGGAAUUCCACGUGUAGCAGUGAAAUGCGUAGAGAUGUGGAGGAACACCGAUGGCGAAGGCAGCCCCCUGGGUCGACACUGACGCUCAUGCACGAAAGCGUGGGUAGCAAACAGGAUUAGAUACCCUGGUAGUCCACGCCCUAAACGAUGUCAACUAGGUGUUGGGUGGGUAAAACCAUUUAGUACCGGAGCUAACGCGUGAGUUGACCGCCUGGGGAGUACGGCCGCAAGGUUA
rnacentral:rRNA from 1 species